AUUUAAAUAGUUUAACAAAAAUGCUGGUCUGUGGUGCCAGAGAUAUAAUUAGUUAUUUUAAAUU
rnacentral:tRNA from 1 species